rnacentral:rRNA from 1 species
AUUGAACGCUGGCGGCAGGCCUAACACAUGCAAGUCGAACGAGUGGCGGACGGGUGAGUAAUGUCUGGGAAACUGCCUGAUGGAGGGGGAUAACUACUGGAAACGGUAGCUAAUACCGAAUACCAUAGGAUGUGCCCAGGUGGGAUGAGCUAUUGGGUGGGGUAAAGGCUCACCUAGGCGACGAUCCCUAGCUGGUCUGAGAGGAUGACGAGCACAACUGGAACGGAGAAACGGUCAAGACUCUUACGGGAGGCAGCAGUGGGGAAUAUGGGAAAUUGGGCGAAAGCCUGAUGAAGCAAGGCCGCGGGUAUGAAGAAGGUCUCCGGGUUGUAAAGUACUUUCAGAGGGGAGGCGUUACCCGCAGAAGAAGCACCGGCUAACUCCGUGCCAGCCGCCGCGGUAAUAC